UACGUAGGGGGCGAGCGUUGUCCGGAUUUAUUGGGCGUAAAGAGCUCGUAGGCGGUUUGGCAAGUCGGGUGUGAAAACUCCGGCUCAACUCGGAGACGCCACUCGAUACUGCCAUGACUCGAGUCCGGUAGGGGAGUGCGGAAUUCCUGGUGUAGCGGUGAAAUGCGCAGAUAUCAGGAGGAACACCGGUGGCGAAGGCGGCACUCUGGGCCGGUACUGACGCUGAGGCGCGAAAGCCAGGGGAGCGAACGGG
rnacentral:rRNA from 1 species